rnacentral:misc_RNA from 1 species
GAACGCACAUUGCGCCCCUUGGUAUUCCGAGGGGCAUGCCUAUUCGAGCGUCAUUAUCACCCCUCAAGCUCCGGCUUGGUGUUGAGGCCUGCUGUAAAGGCACCCUCUAAAAUCAGUGGCAGUGCCGUCAGGCUCUAAGCGUAGUAAUUUCAUCGCUAUAGACCCGGGCGGACCCUCGCCAGAAACCCCCCAUUUUUUAAUGAUUGACCUCGGAUUAGGUAGGGAUACCCGCUGAACUUAAG